UUCCUGUAGGCGGGGAGCACCGCCCCUUGCCAGGUUCUAGAGGCCUGUGAACUGCAUUACCUGAAAAAAAACUACGCCAGUUCGUGGGCGCCCCUGAGCCAAUAAAGGCUCAGGAAAGAGUCACUUCCGUUCUAGAGGACGGAGUCUGGGCGGCUUUUCCGGCGUCGACUGGGGUCGUUAUUUUGUAAACUCGGCUGUGUUCACAGGCGGGGAACUUCGCAACGCUGUGAAGGCCAGAGGUCAGGGAGCCAGGAAGGCGCCGUGCCCGCUUCUCUGAGCUUCGUCUGAGGCUCGGCGUGGGCGCCAUCCGGCCUGACUCUGUCUUGGGCGGUUGGUGCCGGAGUGCCCGGGCCUCACCUUCGCCCACAAACUCCGCUGGCGCCGGCGCAGAUGUGUCGGAUUCAGGGCCCUGUGACCUUUGAGGACGUGGAAGGAAUGGAAGCUUCUUAAUGAGGUGCAGAGAUUCCUGUCCUCUGAUGUGAUCCUGGAGACCUCUGUACUUGUUGUGUCAUUGGUGGAAGUACAGAGAAGUCUUACCCCUGGACCACGGAAGCCCCUGGUUUCAUAUUCAAAAUGAAUGAAUAGGGUUGUAUCCCUUUUGCAUUCUAACAGUAUGGGAACCUCCCACUCCUGUGUUCCUCACCAGUAGUGGGUUGGUAUGGUUAGUGUUUUGAAUAUUACCUGUUUUAAAAGUGUGGAUACAUGCCUCACUGUGGUCUGAUGCAUUUCCCUAGUGAUUCAGGAUGUUGAACAUUCCUGUGUUCAUUUGCCAGGUGUAUGUCUUCUUUGAUUAAAUGUCUUUUUAUUAUAGCUACUGUGGAGACAAUAAAAAGAAAUGAGUUGCAACUUGA